GGCGAACGCUGGCGGCAGGCUUAACACAUGCAAGUCGAGCGCCCCGCAAGGGGAGCGGCAGACGGGUGAGUAACGCGUGGGAAUCUACCCAUCUCUACGGAAUAACGCAUGGAAACGUGUGCUAAUACCGUAUACGUCCUUUUGGAGAAAGAUUUAUCGGAGAUGGAUGAGCCCGCGUUGGAUUAGCUAGUUGGUGGGUAAAGGCCUACCAAGGCGACGAUCCAUAGCUGGUCUGAGAGGAUGAUCAGCCACACUGGGACUGAGGCACGGCCCAG
rnacentral:rRNA from 1 species